rfam:Pannonibacter phragmitetus strain 31801, complete genome.
CAGUGGGACACUCCUCCCCAACGAGGAGCGCCUAUCUGAGAGGAUAGCAUAU